GAGGGUGUAGCUCAAGCAGUAGAGCGCCUGCUUAGCAAGCACGAGGUCCCAAGUUCAAUCCCCAGUACCCCCU
rnacentral:tRNA from 1 species